AUGCGGAAGAGAUAAGUGCUGAAAGCAUCUAAGCACGAAACUAGCCCCGAGAUGAGUUCUCCCUGAGACUUUAAGUCUCCUGAAGUAACGUUAAAGACGAUGACGUUGAUAGGCCGGGUGUGUAAGCGCAGCGAUGCGUUGAUCUAACCGGUACUAAUGAACCGUGAGGCUUAACCUU
rnacentral:rRNA from 1 species